GUAGCUGGUCUGAGAGGAUGRCCAGCCACACUGGAACUGAGACACGGUCCAGAUUCCUACGGGAGGCAGCAGUGGGGAAUAUUGGACAAUGGGGGCAACCCUGAUCCAGCAAUGCCGCGUGUGUGAAGAAGGCCUGAGGGUUGUAAAGCACUUUCAGUGGGGAGGAGGGUUGAUAGGUUAAGAGCURAUUAAUUGGACGUUACCCACAGAAGAAGCACCGGCUAACUCCGUGCCAGCAGCCGCGGUAAUACGGAGGGUGCGAGCGUUAAUCGGAAUUACUGGGCGUAAAGGGUGCGUAGGUGGUUUAUUAAGUUAUCUGUGAAAUCCCUGGGCUUAACCUGGGCAGGUCAGAUAAGACUGGUWGACUCGAGUAUGG
rnacentral:rRNA from 1 species